rnacentral:tRNA from 1 species
GCGCCGUUGGUCUAAUGGUUAGGAUUCGUCCCUUCCCAAGGAUGAGGUCGGGGUUCGAUUCCCCGACGGCGCA